rnacentral:rRNA from 1 species
AAGUACUUUGAAGAAAGAGUUCAAGAGAACGUGAAACUACCACGAGAUUAAAGCGGAUGUACAUACGUAGCCGAUAAGGGGGCCUCAUCUCCUCGAGCCUCCAGCGGUCGUCGCGUUCGGACCUUCGCUUUCCGUCCACACUUCGGUGGGGACAACCGGCGAUGGCCGUCGCGACGGCGGACUCGGAGGAUGGGGGGUGGACUUCCCUCCUUUGUAGGCAGUCGCGGCCGUUCGAGAGUCGUCUAAGACCCGGGAGUCGGGAACCGCCAUGCGAAUAACACUCGCGGGCGGGGACGCUCCCUCGAUUCUGGCGGACUCUAGGACGGUUGUUAAAAAUUGGCGACGUAGAAGAGUGCGAAUCUCUCGUCGUACGCGGCUGUGACGCGAUCGUUCAUCCGUCCCGUCUUGAAACACGGACCAAGGAGUCUAACAUGUGCGCGAGUCAACGGGUUGGCUAAACCCCAAGGCGCAACGAAAGUAAAAAAGGGAGUCCUCUCGUUAGGACUCUCGUUGGGUCGAUCCGUGAUCCUGCCAUUAGGACCGGCGCAGACCCGGGGCUCGCCGCUACCUCUUCGGGACUCUCGCGACUACGGCAGCAGUUGUAGUAGCAGUAGUAGUCUCGAGGCGGGCGGCGGGCACCUAGAGCGUACAUGCUAGUACCCGAAAGAUGGUGAUCUAUGCUUGGCCAGGAUGAAGCCAGAGGAAACUCUGGUGGAGGUCCGUAGCGAUUCUGACGUGCAAAUCGAUCGUCAGAGCUGGGUAUAGGGGCGAAAGACCAAUCGA